ACGGGAGGCAGCAGUAGGGAAUAUUGCACAAUGGGCGAAAGCCUGAUGCAGCGACGCCGCGUGAGUGAAGAAGUAUUUCGGUAUGUAAAGCUCUAUCAGCAGGGAAGAAAAAUGACGGUACCUGACUAAGAAGCACCGGCUAAAUACGUGCCAGCAGCCGCGGUAAUACGUAUGGUGCAAGCGUUAUCCGGAUUUACUGGGUGUAAAGGGAGCGCAGGCGGUACGGCAAGUCUGAUGUGAAAGCCCGGGGCUCAACCCCGGUACUGCAUUGGAAACUGUCGAACUAGAGUGUCGGAGGGGUAAGCGGAAUUCCUAGUGUAGCGGUGAAAUGCGUAGAUAUUAGGAGGAACACCAGUGGCGAAGGCGGCUUUCUGGACGAUAACUGACGCUGAGGCUCGAAAGCGUGGGGAGCAAACAGGAUUAGAUACCCUGGUA
rnacentral:rRNA from 1 species